CCUACGGGAGGCAGCAGUGAGGAAUAUUGGUCAAUGGGCUUACGCCUGAACCAGCCAAGUCGCGUGAGGGAAGACUGCCCUAUGGGUUGUAAACCUCUUUUGUCAGGGAGCAACGCCGGCUACGUGUAGCCGGACUGAGAGUACCUGAAGAAAAAGCAUCGGCUAACUCCGUGCCAGCAGCCGCGGUAAUACGGAGGAUGCGAGCGUUAUCCGGAUUUUUUGGGUUUAAAGGGUGCGUAGGCGGAAUGCCAAGUCAGCGGUAAAAUCGCGGGGCUCAACCUCGCUCCGCCGUUGACACUGGCGUUCUUGAGUGGGCGAGAAGUAUGCGGAAUGCGUGUUGUAGCGGUGAAAUGCAUAGAUAUCACGCAGAAAUCCGAUUGCGAAGGGAGCAUACCGGCGCCCAACUGACGCUGAAGCACGAAAGCGUGGGUAUCGAACAGGAUUAGAUACCCUGUAGUC
rnacentral:rRNA from 1 species